rnacentral:rRNA from 1 species
UUGUCGUCAGCUCGUGUCGUGAGAUGUUGGGUUAAGUCCCGCAACGAGCGCAACCCUUGAUUUUAGUUGCCAGCAUUUAGUUGGGCACUCUAAAGUGACUGCCGGUGCAAGCCGGAGGAAGGUGGGGACGACGUCAAAUCAUCAUGCCCCUUAUGACCUGGGCUACACACGUGCUACAAUGGAUGGUACAAAGGGUCGCGAAGCCGCGAGGUGGAGCCAAUCCCAUAAAACCAUUCUCAGUUCGGAUUGUAGGCUGCAACUCGCCUACAUGAAGCCGGAAUCGCUAGUAAUCGUGGAUCAGCAUGCCACGGUGAAUACGUUCCCGGGCCUUGUACACACCGCCCGUCACACCACGAGAGUUUGUAACACCCGAAGUCGGUAGGGUAACCUUUAUGGAGCCAGCCGCCGAAGGUGGGACAGAUAAUUGGGGUGAAGUCGUAACAAGGUAGCCGUAUCGGAAGGUGCGGCUGGAUCACCUCCUUUCUAAGGAA